UGGGGAAUCUUGCGCAAUGCGCGAAAGCGUGACGCAGCAACGCCGCGUGGGGGAAGAAGGCCUUCGGGUUGUAAACCUCUUUCAGUUGGGACGAAGGCCUCGCGGUUAAUAGCCGUGGGGGUUGACGGUACCUUCAGAAGAAGCCCCGGCUAACUACGUGCCAGCAGCCGCGGUAAUACGUAGGGGGCAAGCGUUGUCCGGAAUCAUUGGGCGUAAAGAGCGUGUAGGCGGCCCGAUAAGUCCGCUGUGAAAGUCCAGGGCUCAACCCUGGAAUGCCGGUGGAUACUGUCGGGCUCGAGUUCGGAAGAGGUGAGUGGAAUUCCUGGUGUAGCGGUGAAAUGCGCAGAUAUCAGGAGGAACACCAAUGGCGAAGGCAGCUCACUGGGACGAUACUGACGCUGAGACGCGAAAGCGUGGGGAGCAAACAGG
rnacentral:rRNA from 1 species